rnacentral:lncRNA from 1 species
GAAAACAGUAGAGGAAGGGGAAAUCCUACCAGCAUCUUCAAGGGAUACUAUAGCAUUAACUAUAUACUGACUAUCGGAAAAUAAAUUAAAUACAGAAUCUUUAAACAUCACAAAAGCUUGUAAUACUGCAUUAAGCUCUACCUUUUGAGCUGAUUGUUUGGGUACUAAAAAUGUAAAAGUUUGAUCAGGUGUAACUAUUGCUGCUGUACCAUUAUUUGACCCAUCAGUGAAUAUAUUUGGAGCAUUCAUGAUAGGGGU